rnacentral:rRNA from 1 species
AGGGAAUAUUGCGCAAUGGGGGAAACCCUGACGCAGCGACGCCGCGUGAGUGAUGAAGGCCUUCGGGUCGUAAAGCUCUGUCGUAUGGGACUAACAAAAUGAAGGUACCAUGCAAGAAAGGAUCGGCUAACUUCGUGCCAGCAGCCGCGGUAAGACGAGGGAUCCUAGCGUUGUUCGGAAUUAUUGGGCGUAAAGCGGGUGUAGGCGGACUUAUAAGUCAGGUGUGAAAUCCCAGGGCUCAACCCUGGAAGUGCACUUGAUACUGUAAGUCUUGAAUGUGGUAGAGGUUACUGGAAUUCUUGGUGUAGUGGUGAAAUACGUAGAUAUCAAGAGGAACACCGGAGGCGAAGGCGGGUAACUGGGCCAACAUUGACGCUGAGACCCGAAAGCGUGGGGAUCAAACAGGA